GGGAAGGAACCACAGGGAUUGCCCCAGUAACGGCGAGUGAAGCGGCAACAGCCCAGAUUUGAAAUCCGGCCCUAGGCCAGAGUUGUAAUCUGCAGAGGAUGCCUUUGGUGACGCGCCGCCCGAGUUCCCUGGAACGGGACGCCUGAGAGGGUGAGAGCCCCGUAGGGUCGGACGCAGAACCUCUGUAAGGCUCCUUCGACGAGUCGGGUAGUUUGGGAAUGCUGCCCAAAAUGGGAGGUAAACUCCUCCUAAGGCUAAAUACCGGCUAGAGACCGAUAGCGCACAAGUAGAGUGAUCGAAAGAUGAAAAGCACCUUGGAAAGGGGGUUAAAAAGCACGUGAAAUUGUUGAAAGGGAAGCGCCCGCGACCAGACCUGCCCGGUUUUCUGGCUCAGGCGUUCUCGCCUGGGUUUUACUGCCGGUAGGCCAGCAUCGGUUUCUGCGGGGGGAUAAAGACGGCGGGAACGUAGCUCCUCCGGGAGUGUUAUAGCCCAUCGUGUAAUGCCCUCGCGGGGACCGAGGACCGCGCUCUGCAAGGAUGCUGGCAUAAUGGUCGUCGGCGACCCGUCUUGAAACACGGACCAAGGAGUCAAGCAUUAGGGCGAGUGUUUGGGUGUUAAACCCGCACGCGUAAUGAAAGUGAACGUAGGUGAGAGCUUCGGCGCAUCAUCGACCGAUCCUGAUGUAUUCGGAUGGAUUUGAGUAGGAGCCUUACCGCUUGGACCCGAAAGAUGGUGAACUAUGCCUGUAUAGGGUGAAGCCAGAGGAAACUCUGGUGGAGGCUCGCAGCGGUUCUGACGUGCAAAUCGAUCGUCAAAUAUGGGCAUGGGGGCGAAAGACUAAUCGAACCAUCUAGUAGCUGGUUACCGCCG
rnacentral:rRNA from 1 species